GUAUCGGAAGUGCGAAUGCUGACAUGAGUAACGAUAAUGGGGGUGAAAAGCCCCCACGCCGAAAGCCCAAGGUUUCCUCGCGCAACGUUCAUCGGCGCAGGGUGAGUCGGCCCCUAAGGCGAGGCAGAAAUGCGUAGUCGAUGGGAAGCAGGUUAAUAUUCCUGCACUUUUCUUAAGUGCGAUGUGGGGACGGAGAAGGUUAGGUCUACCGGGCGUUGGUUGUCCCGGGGAAAGGCGGUAGGCAUGGGUCUUAGGCAAAUCCGGGACCCUUUAUGCCGAGCACCGAGACGAGUCCUAUGGGACGAAGUGACUGACACCACGCUUCCAGGAAAAGCCACUAAGCUUCAGCUUAAGAAAAACCGUACCGUAAACCGACACUGGUAGGCAGGGUGAGAAUCCCAAGGCGCUUGAGAGAACUCGGGUGAAGGAACUAGGCAAAAUGGCACCGUAACUUCGGGAGAAGGUGCGCCCUUUGACGUGGUCACAUGCGUGACUGAGCGUUGAAGGGUCGCAGUAACCUGGCCGCUGCGACUGUUUAUCAAAAACACAGCACUCUGCAAACACGAAAGUGGACGUAUAGGGUGUGACGCCUGCCCGGUGCUGGAAGGUUAAUUGAUGGGGUCAGCCGCAAGGCGAAGCUCUUGAUCGAAGCCCCAGUAAACGGCGGCCGUAACGAUAACGGUCCUAAGGUAGCGAAAUUCCUUGUCGGGUAAGUUCCGACCUGCACGAAUGGCGUAACGACAGCGGCGCUGUCUCCACCCGAGACUCAGUGAAAUUGAAUUCGCUGUGAAGAUGCAGCGUUCCCGCGGCAAGACGGAAAGACCCCGUGAACCUUUACUAUAGCUUUACACUGAACGUUGAGUUCUUCUGUGUAGGAUAGGUGGGAGGCUUUGAAGCGCAGACGCCAGUUUGCGUGGAGCCAACCUUGAAAUACCACCCUGAAGUGCUUGACGUUCUAACCUCGGCCCGUAAUCCGGGUCAGGGACCGUGUAUGGUGGGUAGUUUGACUGGGGCGGUCUCCUCCCAAAGAGUAACGGAGGAGCACGAAGGUACGCUCAGCGCGGUCGGACAUCGCGCACUGUGUGCAAUGGCAUAAGCGUGCUUGACUGCGAGAUCGACGGAUCAAGCAGGUACGAAAGUAGGUCAUAGUGAUCCGGUGGUUCUGUAUGGAAGGGCCAUCGCUCAACGGAUAAAAGGUACUCCGGGGAUAACAGGCUGAUACCGCCCAAGAGUUCAUAUCGACGGCGGUGUUUGGCACCUCGAUGUCGGCUCAUCACAUCCUGGGGCUGUAGCCGGUCCCAAGGGUAUGGCUGUUCGCCAUUUAAAGUGGUACGCGAGCUGGGUUCAGAACGUCGUGAGACAGUUCGGUCCCUAUCUGUCGUGGGCGUUGGAGAUUUGAGGGGGGCUGCUCCUAGUACGAGAGGACCGGAGUGGACGUUCCGCUGGUGUUCGGGUUGUCAUGCCCAUGGCAUUGCCCGGUAGCUAUGAACGGAAGUGAUAACCGCUGAAAGCAUCUAAGCGGGAAGCACGCCCCAAGAUGAGAUCUCCCGAGAGCUUGACUCUCCUAAAGGCACCAUCAAGACCAGGUGGUUGAUAGGUCAGGUGUGGAAGCGCAGCAAUGCGUUGAGCUAACUGAUACUAAUGAGCCGUGCGGCUUGACC
rnacentral:rRNA from 1 species